UGACGUCCCCAGCCCCAGGCUCUAAGCUGU
rnacentral:piRNA from 1 species